AUGAACACAACCCACAGCACAGCGAACACAGGAGCGCAGUCGUGUUACUCUCAGUUCUACAUGGAGAAAUCAUUCAUCUUACUGAUUGUCACCAUCACCACAGGACUGAGUGCUGGUGAUGAUAUCAGACCUGAAAAGGAUCAACAGUCCGGUACAGAAGGAGAAUCAGUGACAAUGAGCUGUAAAUACAGUACUAACAGUGAAUAUGUUUAUCUCUACUGGUACAGACAGAACCUGAACCAGGCUCCUCAGUACCUUCUCUACAAGGGGGCCCGAUCAUAUAGCAGCGAGCAUACAACAGAUGACAGAUUCAAAUGUACCACAUCCAGGGACUCAACCCAGCUCACCAUCGAAGCUCUUACCAUGUCAGACACAGCCAUCUACUACUGCGCUCUGAGGGUGGCACAGUGA